rnacentral:sRNA from 1 species
CUGAGAGCGCUAGCGGAGACUGAAGUCAUCUGGUUAUCUCUAGAGCAGGUGCAGAAGCAAUGCAAGCUUCCCCUCCAUUGUCCUCCCAAUGGGCCUCAAAUGUAACUUGGAAUGAUCAUCUGAGAUGGGUAGUUAGUGUCUCUGGAGCCAUCAGAGACAAAUCGCU